rnacentral:rRNA from 1 species
CUUUACUGACGCUAAAGCUCGAAGGUGCGGGUAUCGAACAGGAUUAGAUACCCUGGUAGUCCGCACGGUAAACGAUGGAUGCCCGCUGUUUGCGAUAUAUUGUAAGCGGCCAAGAGAAAUCGUUAAGCAUCCCACCUGGGGAGUACGCCGGCAACGGUGAAACUCAAAGGAAUUGACGGGGGCCCGCACAAGCGGAGGAACAUGUGGUUUAAUUCGAUGAUACGCGAGGAACCUUACCCGGGCUUGAACUGCAGCGGAAGGAUACAGAGAUGUUGACGUCCUUCGGGACCGCUGUGGAGGUGCUGCAUGGUUGUCGUCAGCUCGUGCCGUGAGGUGUCGGCUUAAGUGCCAUAACGAGCGCAACCCUUUUCAUCAGUUGCCAUCAGGUGAUGCUGGGCACUCUGUUGAUACUGCCACCGUAAGGUGUGAGGAAGGUGGGGAUGACGUCAAAUCAGCACGGCCCUUACGUCCGGGGCUACACACGUGUUACAAUGGGGCAUACAGAAGGCAGGAUCAUGGCAACAUGGUUCAAAUCUUUAAAGUGCUCCUCAGUUCGGAUUGGGGUCUGCAACCCGACCCCAUGAAGCUGGAUUCGCUAGUA